AUAAAACCAUCUAGGAACUCAAUGUAAGCACAGAGUCUGCAGUCUGUCAUCAACACCAGUCUCCAAGGACAGCACAAGCAGGGCUCCAUCAAUGACUGUGCAAUAAAAAUCACGCACAGCAUAGGCUUUGUUUCAGAGCUGAUGGCACCCCUACAGAGAAUACCCUGGACAACAAGAUCCUCCUGUGUAUUCAAAACCACAUGUUGUAUACUGCUAUUAGUAAACUAUACUCAUGAUUCUGACAAAGGUACUCUUACUAAUUGUAGUGUAUUUGAAUAAUUUUCCAAAAUCCAUACAAUUCUUGAUCUGCUAGCAGUCUGUUUAAUUUAAGUUUAUUUUAUGCAUUGCUUUUGAAUGUGCUAUAUAUUGUACAUUCAGUUGAGAGAAUGCAACACAUUAAGGAAUGGCCAUGAACUACAUAUAUGGAUAGCUUGUUUUAUGAAAUACUGAUUGAUCCAAUUUCAUUUGGAGUCUACUGCCAGCUUAUGGGGAGACGUCGUAACUUAUUGUACACAGUAUCACAUUGCAGUGUUUUCAGUACAAAUAGAGCCACACCAACGAGGUAAUGGUCAUGUUUGAAGUCCCUGUAACCCCCUCUUCUAAUUUGCUUAAUGACAUUUUUCAGUAGACUAUUAGAGAUUAUUUUUUUAUUUUUGUAUGGAUGAAUCAUUACAUUUCCACCCAAAAAAAUCAUUGACUACUUGCGGUUUGAUUUUAUCAACUAUCUUUCAAACAGAAGUUCUACAUGUUUCUAAUCCAAAUUAUGAAAUUAUUUAAGAAUUCCAGUAUCAAAACCAAAGAUCUAAAAAAGAUAAUACUCCAGUACGUUCAAGGCAAACAUAUUUUGAAUACAAGCAAAGAAAAUGUAGGCUACUAUACAUUAACAAAGAGUUUCAGCAAAUAGGGUUCUUUUAUAAUAACUGUAACAACUGAGAUAAUGUCUGUUGCAGCUGUUUUGCCUCAGGACAAAGUCAUGUUUACUGCACCAUCUUUACUCUGUCCUAAAAAGGGACAGCUAAAAGGGAAUGCUAUAAAGCAUUAUGUGUGUUUAAUGUGUACAAUAAGCCUAGAGGUUAAAAUUUGACACUCUUUCAUCUGUCAUUCUUGUCAUUUUGUGUAUCAGGCCUGAACAAUUAUUACUGAUUAAAGAAUAACAUCUACCCUUCUU